CAGUCGCCGCGGGAAAACGUAGGUGGCAAGCGUUGUCCGGAAUUAUUGGGCGUAAAGGGCUCGCAGGCGGUUUCUUAAGUCUGAUGUGAAAGCCCCGGCUCAACCGGGGAGGGUCAUUGGAAACUGGGAAACUUGAGUGCAGAAGAGGAGAGUGGAAUUCCACGUGUAGCGGUGAAAUGCGUAGAGAUGUGGAGGAACACCAGUGGCGAAGGCGACUCUCUGGUCUGUAACUGACGCUGAGGAGCGAAAGCGUGGGGAGCGAACAGGAUUAGAUACCCCUGUAGUCCCUGUCUCUUAUACA
rnacentral:rRNA from 1 species